UCCGUGCUUAGGUAGCAUAAUCACUCGUCCUCUAAUUAAGGACUAGAAUGAAUGGAUUAACAAAAAAUAACUUUCUUUACUUUAAAUAUAAAACCUAAUAUAUGGAUGAAAAAUUCCAUAUUUUUUAAAAAGACCAAAAGACCCUAACGAGCUUAAAUAUUUUGCAAAAAUAUUUUUAGUUGGGGCGAUUAAAGAUAUAUUUCAUCUUUUUAAAAAAUAAACAAUAAUUCCACCUAAAAUAAAUAUAAAAUAGUUACCGUAGGGAUAACAGGCUACUCAAUUUUAAAAGUUCACAUAUACAAAUUGUCUUAGCACCUCGAUGUUGGCUUAAGGGUACUCUAAA
rnacentral:rRNA from 1 species